GACGAACGCUGGCGGCGUGCUUAACACAUGCAAGUCGAACGGUAAGGCCCCAGCUUGCUGGGGUACACGAGUGGCGAACGGGCGAGUAACCCGUGGGUGACCCGCCCUGCACUUCGGGAUAAGCCUGGGAAACUGGGCCUAAUACCGGACAGGACCGCACCGCGCGGGUGCGGUGGAAAGUUUUUUCGGUGUGGGAUGGGCCCGCGGCCUAUCAGCCUGGUGGUGGGGUAAUGGCCCACCAAGGCGGCGACGGGUCGCCGGCCUGAGAGGGUGGACGGCCACAUUGGGACUGAGAGACGGCCCAGACUGCUACGGGAGGCAGCAGCGGGGAAUAUUGCACAAUGGGCGGAAGCCUGGUGCCGCGACGCCGCGUGGGGGAUCACGGCCUUCGGGUUGUAAACGCCCUCCACCAUCGACGAAGGGUGUCUGAAGGUAGAUGGCGAAGAAGACCCGGCUAACUACGUG
rnacentral:rRNA from 1 species